rnacentral:rRNA from 1 species
UCCUACGGGAGGCAGCAGUAGGGAAUCUUCCGCAAUGGGCGAAAGCCUGACGGAGCAAUACCGCGUGAGGGAAGACGGCCUAUGGGUUGUAAACCUCUUUUUUCAGGGAGGAAUUUUGACGUGUACCUGAAGAAUAAGCAUCGGCUAACUCCGUGCCAGCAGCCGCGGUAAGACGGAGGAUGCAAGUGUUAUCCGGAAUCACUGGGCGUAAAGCGUCUGUAGGUGGUUAAGCAAGUCAACUGUUAAAUCUUGAGGCUCAACUUCAAAAUCGCAGUCGAAACUGUUUGACUAGAGUAUAGUAGGGGUAAAGGGAAUUUCCAGUGGAGCGGUGAAAUGCGUAGAUAUUGGAAAGAACACCGAUGGCGAAGGCACUUUACUGGGCUAUUACUGACACUCAGAGACGAAAGCUAGGGUAGCAAAUGGGAUUAGAUACCCCAGUAGUCCUAGCCGUAAACAAUGGAUACUAGAUGUUGAACAGAUCGACCUGUGCAGUAUCAAAGCUAACGCGUUAAGUAUCCCGCCUGGGAAGUAUGCUCGCAAGAGUGAAACUCAAAGGAAUUGACGG